rnacentral:rRNA from 1 species
AAUGAACGCUGGCGGCGUGCCUAAUACAUGCAAGUCGAGCGAACGGACGAGAAGCUUGCUUCUCCGAUGUUAGCGGCGGGCGGGUGAGUAACGCGUGCAUAAGCUACCUCUAUUACUGGGAUAACUUCGGAAAACCGGAGCUACUACCGGAUAAUAUUUUGAACCGCAUGGUUCAAAAGUUAAAGACGGUCUUGCUGUCACUUAUAGAUGGAUCCGCGCUGCAUUAGCUAGUUGGUAAGGUAACGGCUUACCAAGGCAACGAUGCAUAGCCGACCUGAGAGGGUGAUCGGCCACACUGGAACUGAGACACGGUCCAGACUCCUACGGGAGGCAGCAGUAGGGAAUCUUCCGCAAUGGGCGAAAGCCUGACGGAGCAACGCCGCGUGAGUGAUGAAGGUCUUCGGAUCGUAAAACUCUGUUAUUAGGGAAGAACAUAUGUGUAAGUAACUGUGCACAUCUUGACGGUACCUAAUCAGAAAGCCACGGCUAACUACGUG